CCAUCUAUAAACACAUAAUGAAAUCGAAGCAUAGUUUCAUUGGUGCAUUUGAUGAUCCUGGCCCGUAUGGACGAGGACGAUACCAUGAGAAUAUGGCACCUGAAGUGGACAUUAGCCAAUGGCGUAAAGGAUCACAAUGGUUUGAAAUUGACCGAAAGCUUGCAAUCAAUAUAGUGGAAGAUAGCAAGUAUUACCGGAAAUUUGAAGAGUUCUGUAGGCCAGCAUGUUAUGUGGAUGAGCAUUAUUUCCCUACCAUGUUAACCAUUCAGGCAGCUGGAUCCCUAGCAAAUCGAAGCAUCACAUGGGUGGAUUGGUCAAGAGGUGGGGCUCACCCAGCUACAUUUGGAAGAGCAGAUAUCACCGAGGAGUUCUUUGUGAGGAUAUUUGAAAGUCACAGCUGCAAAUACAAUAACAAGAACACCUCAAUGUGUUACCUUUUCGCCAGAAAAUUUGCACCCAGUGCUUUGGAACCUUUACUGCAAGUAGCACCAAAGGUUCUGGGAUUUUAAGAGCUG
rnacentral:lncRNA from 1 species